GCUUUCGGCAGGCAUAUACAUGCAGGCGAGGGGGCAGCAAUGUCACCGUCGUACGGGUGCGUAACGCGUAUGCAACCUACCCUUCACUGGGGGAUAGCCCGGGGAAACUCGGAUUAAUACCGCAUAAGACAGUAACUCGGCAUCGGGUAGUUGUUAAAGAUUUAUUGGUGAGGGAUGGGCAUGCGUCUGAUUAGCUAGUUGGUGAGGUAACGGCUCACCAAGGCGAUGAUCAGUAGGGGUUCUGAGAGGAUUGGCCCCCACACUGGCACUGAGAUACGGGCCAGACUCCUACGGGAGGCAGCAGUAGGGAAUAUUGGGCAAUGGAUGCAAGUCUGACCCAGCCAUGCCGCGUGCAGGAAGAAGGUCCUCUGGAUUGUAAACUGCUUUUAUUCGGGGAGAAAAGGCCCAUGCGUGGGACAUUGACGGUACCGAAUGAAUAAGCCACGGCUAACUACGUGCCAGCAGCCGCGGUAAUACGUAGGUGGCAAGCGUUGUCCGGAUUUAUUGGGUUUAAAGGGUGCGUAGGCGGCUUGUUAAGUCAGUGGUUAAAGGUAGCAGCUCAACUGUUUUACAUGCCAUUGAUACUGACAGGCUUGAGAUAACUGGAGGAUUUUAGAAUUCCUGAUGUAGCGGUGAAAUGCUUAGAUAUC
rnacentral:rRNA from 1 species